UUUAAUGGAUGGCCCACAGCUGAAGGACAGUGCUGGUUUUCUGUGUGAAGGGGUAAGAAUUAACAAAUUGCAACCAGAAGAAGACAAAAACUGUACAAGGGAAAGAGAGGAGCAGGUGGAACUUGCUGAAGUCAAAAAACAGUCUAUACCAGAAGGAACUGAACUGCAUGUGGAGGUUAAUGGGUUAGUUCAUGAAUGUCCUAAUGUGGCUGAAAACCCAGGUGUCUUGUCAGAACCCUCUGAUAUUGAGAACCACAUUAAAGUACUCCCUGACCACGAAUCAAGUGACAAUUUAAGACCACCUGCACUUGAUAAUCUCUCAAUAAAUUCUCCAGACACUGAUACUCAGCAGUCCAACCCAAUCACUUCAAAUGAGCAUUGUAUUAAUCAGGAAUUAACCUCUGCAUUGGGUGGAAAUGGAGAACAGAAUGAGCACAUUCAUCAGGAAUCAACCGUUGUAUCAAAUGGAAACAAAGAACAGGGUGGGGGAAAUGCAGAUGAGGUCUCAGCAAUUCAUGAACCCGAUAUGCAAGACAUGAAAUCAAACACACCCUCUCGGGCAUGUCUUCAAAAUGAUGACAGUUCUUUGCAUCCAGCUAGUGACUUGGAUCCUUCAGAAUCAGAAACAAACUCACAGCUCCAAAUGCAAGCCCAGUCACAAACUAAUUCACAUCGAGAUUCACCUGCUGGUGGUGCAUUUCCUCAAAAUUCCGGCAGUGCAGGAAAGUGGUUUCAGAUGCAUUAUGGCAUGCAUGCCUCUGAAGAUUCCAGUACCAGUUCCCGUGGUUAUGUUCAAGCUUCACAGUCUCAACAGUGGCAGGUUCAUGCACAGUUGCAAUCCCCUCCUGCCUCAAACUCACAAAUGCUCAUAACUCAUGGUUAUCCAUUUCAGCCUCAGGCUUCAAGUAAUGCACGGGAUCAGCAAGCUAACCAAACCCAAGGUCAAUAUCACAUGGCUGCUGCUCAAGCUUACCCAACUGGAAACCUUUCCUGGCCUGGACAAAAUAUUCAGCAGCAGGGUUUUGUAUAUAUACAGCCGCAAUUAAGCACCCAUACUACUUCUCAACCUCAAUCUGAAGUUUAUCAGCAAUCUGUCCAGGCUAACGAACAGUACAGGUAUUCUCAAAGUUACCAAGGAUUUGCGCCUCAUAUCUGGCAGUACUAUCAGCAACAUCUGUAUUAUCUGCAGCAGCAGCAGCAGCAAAUUCAGAACCAUCUGCAGCAGCAGCAGCAGAAUGAACAACCGCAGCAACUGCGGCAAAAGCACUAUCAGCAGCAGCAGCAGCAGCAGGAGCAGCAUCCAGAGAAUCAACAAUUGUUGCUUCAAGCACAGCAGCAGUCAAAUAACCAACAGGAGUCACAGCAGCACCUCUCACCAGAGCAAAAUCAAAACCUAGAACUCCAGCAGCAACAGCAAGCAUCCCAAUUUCAGCAACAGAACCUGCAGAUGCACUCCACACAACAACAGCAGCAGCAGCUUCUAUACAUUCAACAACAGCAACACCUGUAUUUCCAGCAGCUAUACCACCAGCAGCAGCUGCUCCAGCAACAAUUACUCCAACGGCAGCAGCAACAGCAAUACCAACAACAGGCACAACAGUUAAAUACACAGCUGCAGCAACAGCCACAGCAACCACUUCAGCAGCAGCAGCAGCAGCAGCAACAACAACAACAGCCCCAGCUACUUCAACAGCAACAACAACAACCCCAACUACUUCAACAGCAGCCGCAACAGCCAGACCUACUUCAGCAGCAGCAGCCACACCUACUUCAGCAGCAGCAGCAGCAGCAACACCUACUGCAGCAGAGGCAACAGCAACAGCCACACCUACUUCAGCAGCAGCAGCAACAGCCACACCUACUUCAGCAGCAGCAGCAACAAGAGUUACUCCAGCAGCAGCAGCAGCAGCAACUAUUGCUGUUCCAGCAGCAGCAGCAGCAGCUUUACCAGCUCCAGCAGCAGCAGCAGCAAACCAGUGCUUCAGAACUUGAAGCUUUAAACGUCACUUACUACCUUCAGACUGUUCCUAUGCAAUAUGGAAACAAUCAACAAAGGCAGGAUCUUGGCCAGGAGGCUGAGACAUCCCAGGGUGAAGGGGCUAAUCUGCAGACUGCCGAACAGUCUGGUUCUUCUUAUCCCUCCACACCACAGAAGGGUUCCACAAAGCAGUAAAUUGACCAGCAAAUGCACUAAUCUACUGGUUGUUCCCUUAGAACUCAAAGGGAGGCAGGAGGCCGGCGAGAUGGAGGCCUUUUGGAGGAUUUUGUGUCAAGUCGUAUACACUGGCAAGCCUUGGCCUGAUUGGUCUAAUGGGUCUGGUUUAGUUCAUAAAUUGAGGAUGAAAUGGAGGAAGACAUCUUUUUCGACUAUUUUCCUCUGUAAUCAACUCGAUCCGUUUGGGGUGAACGCACGUAUGGUUCAUUUAUAGCUUAACCGAAGCAACAGAGUCUACAAUCUUUGGGUUCAUCAGUAACAUAAGAUUCCUUGUCAGGGACUGGGGAGGACGGAGCCACCCAACCCACUCGAAGCCGGAAGCUUGUUCUCGUGCAUUCCGGGUCUAUGCUCGUGGGACCAGGACUAUUGCAACGGCAGAUUUAAAAUGAACUCGGAUUGUCCUCCGAAUCAAUUCCCCGACGUGUCGUCUGGUAGGCUCGUACCAUCCGAGCUAACAAUCUGUAAGUGAUUAACUAAUUCUGUAGUAGAGAAUCCUAAUACACUUCCUUUUUAUACGCCACCGAUUAUUUGUUUUUGUGAUAACGUAAUGUCACUUUCAGCAUUCAAUUUGAUUUGAUUGUACCCAUACCAAGGGGGACAGAAUGAAUGCGUGGGAUGGAAAAUAUAGCAUCCAAACUGACACGUAGAAAUGCAUCCUCAGCCUAUAUCCUUCUUUC